rnacentral:rRNA from 1 species
UACACUCCUACGGGAGGCAGCAGUGGGGAAUUUUGGACAAUGGGGGCAACCCUGAUCCAGCAAUGCCGCGUGAGUGAAGAAGGCCUUCGGGUUGUAAAGCUCUUUUGUCAGGGAAGAAACGGUGGUGGCGAAUAACUACUACUAAUGACGGUACCUGAAGAAUAAGCACCGGCUAACUACGUGCCAGCAGCCGCGGUAAUACGUAGGGUGCAAGCGUUAAUCGGAAUUACUGGGCGUAAAGCGUGCGCAGGCGGUUGUGUAAGUCAGAUGUGAAAUCCCCGGGCUCAACCUGGGAAUUGCAUUUGAGACUGCACGGCUAGAGUGUGUCAGAGGGGGGUAGAAUUCCACGUGUAGCAGUGAAAUGCGUAGAUAUGUGGAGGAAUACCGAUGGCGAAGGCAGCCCCCUGGGAUAACACUGACGCUCAUGCACGAAAGCGUGGGGAGCAAACAGGAUUAGAAACCCCGGUAGUCCCAUGAU